ACUCAAAUGAAUUGACGGGGACUCACACAAGCAGUGGAGCAUGUGGUUUAAUCCGAUGUGACGCGUAGAACCUUACCAAGGCUUGACAUGUGGUGCAAAGCUAAGGAAACUUAGUGGAGGUUAUCAUCACACAGGUGUUGCAUGGCCAUCGUCAGUUCGUGCCGUGAGGUGUAUGGUUAAGUCCUGUAACGAACGUAACCCUUGUGCUUAGUUACCAGCAUUUAGUUGGGGACUCUAAGCAGACUGCCAAGGUAACUUGGAGGAAGGAAAGGAUGACGCUUGGUCGUCAUGGCCCUUAUGCCUUGGGCGACACACGUGCUACAAUGGUUAAGACAAAGGGUUGCCAACCCGCGAGGGGGAGCUAAUCUCAAAAAACUAACCUCAGUUCGGAUUGGAGGCUGCAACUCGCCUCCAUGAAGCCGGAAUUGCUAGUAAUCGCAAAUCAGCCAUGUUGCGGUGAAUACGUUCCUGAGUCUUGUACACACCGCCCGU
rnacentral:rRNA from 1 species